rnacentral:tRNA from 1 species
GGAGAGGUGGGUGAGUGGCUUAAACCAAUAGUUUGCUAAACUAUCGUACGGGAAACCGUACCGGGGGUUCGAAUCCCCCCUUCUCCG